UACGUAGGGUGCGAGCGUUGUCCGGAUUUAUUGGGCGUAAAGGGCUCGUAGGCGGCGUGUCGCGUCGGGAGUGAAAGCCCGUUGCUUAACGGCGGGUUGGCUUUCGGUACGGGCAUGCUGGAGUGCGGCAGGGGAGACUGGAAUUCCUGGUGUAGCGGUGAAAUGCGCAGAUAUCAGGAGGAACACCGGUGGCGAAGGCGGGGUCUCUGGGCAGGUAAACUGACGCUGGAGGAGCGAAAGCAUGGGGAGCGAACAGG
rnacentral:rRNA from 1 species